UGGCGGUAGUUUAAUCUUUCUGGGGGAAUCUGUUCUUUAAUCAAUAUCACAUGGGGAAUAGAAACUUUUUUUAAGUUUAUAUACCGUUGUUUAAAAAACUAAUUUUAUAUUUAGUUUAAGAUUUUUAUUUUAACAAACAAAAUUCAAAUCAAGGUUUAGUUUAUAAACAAGUAGAAAUGGAUUACAAUAUAUUUAAUAUGUGGAUUAAAAGGAAACUGGACUCAGGAGUAAAUUAGGUUUUUUAUAAUUUUGAAUAAAGUUCUAAAUU
rnacentral:rRNA from 1 species